rnacentral:rRNA from 1 species
UACGGAGGAUGCAAGCGUUAUCCGGAUUCAUUGGGUUUAAAGGGUGCGCAGGCGGAUUGGUAAGUCAGGGGUGAAAUCCCACAGCUCAACUGUGGAACUGCCUUUGAUACUGUCAGUCUAGAGUAUAGUUGAAGUUGGCGGAAUGUGUCAUGUAGCGGUGAAAUGCUUAGAUAUGACACAGAACACCGAUCGCGAAGGCAGCUAGCUAAGCUAUAACUGACGCUCAUGCACGAAAGCGUGGGGAUCAAACAGGAUUAGAUACCCCCGUAGUCCC